rnacentral:tRNA from 1 species
GCUUGGGUGGCUCAGUCGGUUGAGCGUCUGACUUCAGCUCAGGUCAUGAUCUCGAGGUUUGUGAGUUCGAGCCUCAAGUCGGGCU